UACGUAGGGGGCAAGCGUUGUCCGGAUUUAUUGGGCGUAAAGAGCGUGUAGGCGGCCAAGCAGGUCCGCUGUGAAAACUCGAGGCUCAACCUCGAGAGGUCGGUGGAAACCGUUUGGCUAGAGUCCGGAAGAGGAGAGUGGAAUUCCCGGUGUAGCGGUGAAAUGCGCAGAUAUCGGGAGGAACACCGGUGGCGAAGGCGGUUCUCUGGGCCUUACCUGACGCUGAGGAGCGAAAGCGUGGGGAGCGAACAGG
rnacentral:rRNA from 1 species